rnacentral:lncRNA from 1 species
UUUUCUUUAAUUUUUGUUAUAAAAUCUAUAUUUUUGUUAAAGUGGAUAUUUUUGGGUGUUCUAGAAAAUAUUUUGUACCAAUACCUCUAUUUAGUAAUAACCUCUCAAUUAGAAUACAAAUAGUUUGGUCCCAAGUCUAUUCUUAAAUAGAGGUUUUACUGUAACUCCAAAGGUCAUUAUUAUACCAAUUCACAUUUCCUGGUGAUAAUUAUGUCAAUCAACAGUUCCUUUUUACACCCAGGCCAAAGAGUACUUUCACCACGUAUGUUUGUCACACAGGCUAAAGACACUAAACAAUCAUUUUGUCUUUGCACCCAAGCUAAAGAAAUUCU